rnacentral:lncRNA from 1 species
UCUUCUAAAAGGUUAUUGUGGUACUAAUCAUAUCAUAAAUAAAAUAAAAAAUUACAUGUCCAAUAGGAUGCUACUAUUUUUACGCAAAAAUAUCCAGUAUCAUUCCUGUAUCUAGCGUACGAGCAAAUCUCCAGCGAGCCCUCCAGGAGGCUUUUGGUUUGCGCCUUUCGUCACUGCACAUGUCACGUAGGGUGGUGCUCUCGUAUUGUAGAUGCCGCCUUGCCAGAGACAUGGUCGGAGUCAUGGCAGGGCUUCAGUACAUGUAAUGAUCUAGUUUACCCUGCAGCUGGAGGCUUGGCAUCCACGAGAACAGGGAGAUUGAUCCAAGACAAGAUAGCACAGUUGGAGACUUACAAGCACGCAUAUUCUCUGUCUUCACUAAAAAAUAACACAGAAGUAGAACAUGUAUUAGCAAGUGAACGGGUAAUAGAAGAAGAGGUAGUAGCAAGCUAAAAAUUUAGUACGUUUGAAUCUACAAAUACUCCACUUAUUGUGUGACACUAAAAAUGACAAAUCAAACAUAUAACACAGAAGUAGAACAUGUAUUAGCAAGUGAACAGGUAAUAGAAGAAGAGGUACUAGCAAGCUAGACAUGGUCGGAGUCAUGGCAGGGCUUCAGUACAUGUAAUGAUCUAGUUUACCCUGCAGCUGGAGGCUUGGCAUCCACCAGAACAGGGAGAUCGAUCCAAGAAAAGAUAGCACAGUUGGAGACUUACAAGCACGCAUAUUCUCUGCCUUCACUAGUAACAAGGUGAGAAUUAUUCUAAACUGUUAAGCUCAUAGAAAAAUCUUGAAAACUUGAAAUAAAUCUUGUUUAACCAGUUAUUAUUUACAACAAUCUUGGAAACUUAGCAGAGAUCAUUUUUUAACUUCUAGCUGUAACAAAUGGUCGAAUUCAUGUCUUGUCGUUCUUCACAUGAUAACCUGCAAGAAAGAACAUUUGUGUAGAUGGAGAAGAGAGUUCACAUUUUGAAUCUACAAAUACUCCACUUAUUGUGUGACACUAAAAAUGACAAAUCAAACAUAUUGACAACUCCCUGUAGACGGCGUGUAAAAAUAUGUUUGUGCUGCUAAAUCCUAGUAACAAGGUGAGAAUUAUUCUAAACUGUUAAGCUCAUAGAAAAAUCUUGAAAACUUGAAAUAAAUCUUGUUUAACCAGUUAUUAUUUACAACAAUCUUGGAAACUUAGCAGAGAUCAUUUUUUAACUUCUAGCUGUAACAAAUGGUCGAAUUCAUGUCUUGUCGUUCUUCACAUGAUAACCUGCAAGAAAGAACAUUUGUGUAGAUGGAGAAGAGAGUUCACAUUUUGAUGGUCCUUAUUCCAUGAAUCCCAUAAUAACCUUGGAAUCAGAACUUAACACAAUAUAUAUCAUGACCAUGAGAACACAAUUUGUCGCUAUCAUAUGUUCCUUACUUUUGAUCUAUCUGUGUCAAACUUUUUUGCCACACCUGUAGAUGCCGACAUCUUUCUCCCAAAGAUAGUAGGUUGACAAUGUAUUUGUUGGGACUCUUAGUACAUGCUUAUUACCGAGUUUCAGUUUUACUCUACUACAAUAAAUUAUAGGUCAUUAUAAUUAUUUAUAUGUUGUUUGAUUAGUGUCACACAAAUACCACAUCACCAAUUAUUUAAGAGAAUGUCAUCCAUUGUACAAUGACGUUUGGACUACUUUAGCAAUACGAACAUGUGUUGAACCUCUAAAAACAUAUAGGGAAAUUCUGAAAUUGUAGUGGAAGAUUAGGUAACCUCGGACUAUAUUUAUUAAGGUAUAAAAUGGAAGAAAAUAAAUGGGCAUCCCCUUGUGAACAUUACAUAAAGGGAACAAACUUACCUUGUGGCAAAAAUAGUGAUAGGAAGGAAAUGACAUGGUUAGAUAAAAAAAUAUAAUAGAGGCAUACUUGUGUGUGUGUGUGAGAGAGAGAGAGAGAGAGAGAGAGAUCUUUCUCUGCAGUCCUCCUUUCACUUCACCUUCAUUCUUGUGACCAUGUCUGAACCCUCUCUCUUUAAAGUCUUAUAAUUCUACAGAAUCCCUGGACCGUUGAAAUUCAACGGGGGACCACAAAUUCCCCAUCGUGGAUUCAACCAUGCUAAUCAAAUAUAUUACUGUAUAUCAAGGAUAUACUCAAUUUCGAAUUCAGAGUUGUAAUUUUUAGCUUAAUAGUAAGACUAAUCAUUGGAAUUAAAUGAAUUAGUUAAUUAAUUCGAGAUGGAGACUUUAGUGAAUAAAUUUACCAUGUUGUUAUUGCCGACCUCGGUGAUGAUGUGUUGAUACAGCUUGUAUGUUGUACUCUCGGCAGGCCUCUUCCAUGGUUACACCUUCUCUAUGGUGAUGUACCCAUUGUUCUCCUUGUCGAAGUAGGCAAAGGCAGCCAGCAGGUGCUCCUCCCGCUACAUCUCGUAUAGUGUACUCUCGGCAGGCCUCUUCCACCUUCUCUAU